GACGAACGCUGGCGGCGUGCCUGACACAUGCAAGUCGGACGGUUCUUGUUACCUUCAAGCUUGCUUGUUGGUGCAAGGAUAGUGGCGGACGGGUGAGUAACGCGUGAACAUCUACCCAUUGGAGGGGGACAACCCGUCGAAAGGCGGGCUAAUACCGCGUAAGCCGCGAGGUGAGAGGCUGCCUAUUGGUGGCCGCCGAUGGAUGGGUUCGCGUCCUAUCAGCUGGUUGGUGGGGUAACGGCCUACCAAGGCGAAGACGGGUAGCCGGUCUGAGAGGAUGGCCGGCCACACUGGAACUGAGACACGGUCCAGACUCCUACGGGAGGCAGCAGUGGGGAAUAUUGGGCAAUGGGGGAGACCCUGACCCGAGCGACGCCGCGUGAGGGAUGAAGGUUUUCGGAUCGUAAACCUCUGUUGUACGGGAAGAAGGACUUGACGGUACCGUACGAGGAAGCCCCGGCAAACUACGUG
rnacentral:rRNA from 1 species